AAACAUUCAUGGUCAGACCAUAUCAUCAAAUCGGCGACAGAGCAUUCCAAAACACAUGCCUUUAACACUGUAUUAUGUUCCAUAUCACAUUAGGGUUUCCAACAUUCCAAAAUGCAUGCAAAAGGCAUCCAGGAGAAGUGGAUUUAAUAACAAGCAGCUGGAUGCAAAUUAGCAGCGCCCAACAUCAGAUCUUCAACAGCACAGGUAAAAGACACAGCAAGAAUUUGUUCAACAUCAAUUUAGAGCUAAAUAAAUAGCCAGGUUACUUCACGAACUAUCCCGGUUAUGUUACACACCCGCCAUCCUUACCGCAACAGACUCACAUCUCCAACAACAUCCAUCUUGUAUUCCUCUCUCUUCAGGAUACCAGUCCAGGCGACUUGCACCUGCACUUCACCCCAUCCCAUGCUGCAAACACAACUACCUUCAUCGGAAGGCCCCAUAGUGAUAACAACAUCCUCGCCCUCCUCACCUUCCUUGGUAAGACCAGC
rnacentral:lncRNA from 1 species